rnacentral:rRNA from 1 species
UACGGGGGGUGCAAGCGUUAAUCGGAGUUACUGGGCGUAAAGCGUGCGCAGGCGGUUUGUUAAGUCUGUUGUGAAAUCCCCGAGCUCAACUUGGGAAUUGCAAUGGAUACUGGCAGGCUGGAGUAUGGUAGAGGAAGGUGGAAUUCCCGGUGUAGCAGUGAAAUGCGUAGAGAUCGGGAGGAACACCAGUGGCGAAGGCGGCCUUCUGGACCAAUACUGACGCUCAUGCACGAAAGCGUGGGGAGCAAACAGG